rnacentral:rRNA from 1 species
CAGUAGCCGCGGGAACACGAAGGGGGCUAGCGUUGCUCGGAUUUACUGGGCGUAAAGGGCGCGUAGGCGGACAGUUUAGUCGGGGGUGAAAGCCCGGGGCUCAACCUCGGAAUUGCCUUCGAUACUGGCUGUCUUGAGUACGGGAGAGGUGAGUGGAACUCCGAGUGUAGAGGUGAAAUUCGUAGAUAUUCGGAAGAACACCAGUGGCGAAGGCGACUCACUGGCCCGUUACUGACGCUGAGGCGCGAAAGCGUGGGGAGCAAACAGGAUUAGAUACCCCGGUAGUCCCUGUCUUUAUACA